rnacentral:lncRNA from 1 species
UUUGGCAUUUAAGACUGACUCAUAUUCCAUUUGCAAACAUGAAACACAUUCCUUCUUUGUCCUUUCCUUUUGCUUCCAAACAACCAUUCCCUUGUUCUAUUUGUCCUAUGGCUAGGCAAACUAGACUUCCUUUUCCUGACAGUUCAAUCAGUACCUGUAGACCUUUCCAACUGAUUCAUGUAGACACUUGGGGCCCUUAUCACACUUCCUUUUCCUGACAGUUCAAUCAGUACCUGUAGACCUUUCCAACUGAUUCAUGUAGACACUUGGGCCCUUAUCACACACCCACCUCUUCUGGCUCAAGGUACUUUCUUACUAUAGUUG